rnacentral:hammerhead_ribozyme from 1 species
AUUCAGCCGAUGAGUCCCAAAUAGGAUGAAACGCGUGUCCUGGAU